UUCAAACCCACCUUUUCUCUCUCUUAUCUCUUCUUCUCUCUCCUCUCUCUUCUCCCCCUCUCCCUCGUAACCGACUUCUUCUUCUUCCUUCUUGUCUGUGCGAACCAGCGAACCAGAAACGGGAGAAGCCGAGACAGCAGCCAGCCGCUGCCGUCACUGCCCGUGCACCGCCUCGCUCGUCGCCAGGUCGUCGUCCUGCCGCCCGCGCUCCGCCAGCCCUCGUUUCCUCGCGCUCAGGCCUCCCCCGUGCGUCCCUCGCCCCUGUUCCGUCUCGUCCAGCCACCGUGAGUGGCCGAGCAAGCCGCCGGAGCCGCCGUGUGGCCUCACUGGACCGCCUCUUGCUUUCCCCACCCCUCUCCGCGUCUAACCAUCUCUGUUUUCCUCUGUUUCGCAGCUAAUCCAGCAACCCACGAAGUGGGUUUUCAGCCGGCUCUUGGGCCAUUUUGGGCCGUUUCCGGGCCCCGAACCCGAGCCGUGCUUUGGGAAGUUUUGUUCCUCGCGUCGCCCCCGUCGGAUUGAUCCGACUUGCGCGCGAUUUGGUGAGUAAUCUCACUAAUCCAAGAUUAGUUGGCUAAUUAUGCUUAAGGUUGGUUUAGUUUUAAUUAAUUAUGUUUAGGUUGUUAGAUUAGAAUAAAUUAGCAAUUAUUAGUCAAUUGUGAUGCGAUUUAGAUAAAUUGAUUGUGCAAUUAGCAAGUAGACGUGGUCUACUAAUUAUUGGAAGUGCCUCGGGAUUUUUCCCGACCCCUAGUGGGCUGCAAUUAGGCUUUUCGGGCCUAAGUGGAUUUUUUGUAUUUAAUUAUUAAUUUUCGGAAUUAAAUUAAAUAAUUAUUUAUUUUCCGAAAAUUCAACUGAGAUGGCCCGGGACCGGAAUAUUGUGCUGAUGACCGUGGUGAAGUCCGUUUAUUUAAUCGGGCUUUAUUUUGAGCUAAAUUGAAUUUUUAAUAUUAAUUAUUUAAUUUUCGUAAUUAAUUAUUUAAUUAAUUAUUUUUCUGAAAUUAAGAUGUUGAUGGCCGACGACCGAAAUCUCGUGCUGAUUGUCAUGGCGCAGUCCGUUUAUUUAUUUGAGCUCUACGUUGUAUGGAAUUGAAUAAAUUGUGAUAUUUUAGGGAUUUACCCUAAAUUGAUUGGAAUCGAUUGAGAUUGAAUUAUUGAUUGGUGAUUGGCCAAGUAUGUUAUUCAGCAUUUAUAAUGCUUUGUUGACUUGAUUUAAUUAUUUGAUUGAGAAAUCGUUGGGCAUUGGUUGUCGGUAUUGAAAGAAGAUUGGUAACCACUUGAAAGAGGACACGUGGGCUCGGUGAAUUGAUGCAUCACUUUGGUGAGAUAGCACCUAAGAGAAUGCACGUGGGCCCGGGCAUCGUAAAAAGGGCACGUGGACUCGGUGAAUUGAUGCAUCACUUUGGUGAGAUAGCACCUAAGAGAAUGCACGUGGGCCCGGGCAUCUAAAAGGGCACGUGAGCUCGGUGACUUGAUGUAUCACUUUGGCGAAAAGGUCGCCUGAGAGAAUGCACGUGGGCCCAAGGUUCGAGGCACGUGGACUCGGAGACUUGGAAUGUCGUCCUAGAGAAUGCACAUGGCCUCGCUUUUAGAUACUCCUCCGUGGAGAGUGAUUUGUAUGACAUGUAAUCGACUAGGUCGAUGCUUUGAUUUGAUGUUGUGAAUUGAUUGACUGAAUGGAAAUGACCGUGAGUGGUCUUGUUGGAAUAUAAUCGACCAGGUCGAUUUGAUCGAUGCUUCGAUCAGUGAUAUGAUUGCUUGGGUGCCUAUUAUGAAUUGUACUGACUUGCAGGUGAGAUCAGAGGCCAAGGUAAGUCAUCUGCCCUGUGCGUGUUUAGGCAGCCUUUAGUAUAUUGGUUUACUAAUCGGGCUUAGUGGGGUAGAACUCGCUGAGACGUAGUCUCAUCCCAGUUUGGGGAAACCAUUUCAGGACCCCGAUAAGGAGCUGAGGAGGAGAAGUCUGGGAAGGAGAUCUUGGAGGUGAAACUUGAAGGGAAGGAUUUUGAAAGAAGAAGAUAAUACCGAGAUGGGUCUUGAGUAUGGCCUGGAUGGAUUGAGAUCCUAUCUUCUUUUGAGAUCUCCAUUUUGAUGUGAAUAGUUUUGAAGUGGUUUGUGUUUUGUAUAAAAGUUUGGUUAUAAAUUUCAAUAUGAAAAAUAUGGCCCUGCUUUUCUAUCACAUCGUUUUAUUGUCUGG
rnacentral:lncRNA from 1 species